GUGCUCGCUUCGGCAGCACAUAUACUAAAAUCGGAACGAUACAGAGAAGAUUAGCAUGGCCCUGUGCAAGAUUAAAAAUUCUAAAGCAUAAAAAGAAGUCAUGUAG